rnacentral:rRNA from 1 species
GACGAACGCUGGCGGCGUGCUUAACACAUGCAAGUCGAACGGAAAGGCCCAGCUUGCUGGGUACUCGAGUGGCGAACGGGUGAGUAACACGUGGGUGAUCUGCCCUGGACUCUGGGAUAAGCCUGGGAAACUGGGUCUAAUACCGGAUAUGACCUUACAUCGCAUGGUGUUUGGUGGAAAGCUUUUGCGGUUCCGGAUGGGCCCGCGGCCUAUCAGCUUGUUGGUGGGGUAAUGGCCUACCAAGGCGACGACGGGUAGCCGACCUGAGAGGGUGAUCGGCCACACUGGGACUGAGACACGGCCCAGACUCCUACGGGAGGCAGCAGUGGGGAAUAUUGCACAAUGGGCGCAAGCCUGAUGCAGCGACGCCGCGUGAGGGAUGACGGCCUUCGGGUUGUAAACCUCUUUCACCAGGGACGAAGCGUGAGUGACGGUACCUGGAGAAGAAGCACCGGCCAACUACGUG